rnacentral:rRNA from 2 species
AGAGUUUGAUCCUGGCUCAGGACGAACGCUGGCGGCGUGCCUAACACAUGCAAGUCGAACGGAACUGUUUUGAAAGAUUUCUUCGGAAUGAAUUUGAUUUAGUUUAGUGGCGGACGGGUGAGUAACGCGUGAGUAACCUGCCUUCAAGAGGGGGAUAACAUUCUGAAAAGAAUGCUAAUACCGCAUGACAUAUCGGAACCACAUGGUUUUGAUAUCAAAGAUUUUAUCGCUUGAAGAUGGACUCGCGUCCGAUUAGUUAGUUGGUGAGGUAACGGCUCACCAAGACCGCGAUCGGUAGCCGGACUGAGAGGUUGAACGGCCACAUUGGGACUGAGACACGGCCCAGACUCCUACGGGAGGCAGCAGUGGGGGAUAUUGCGCAAUGGGGGCAACCCUGACGCAGCAACGCCGCGUGAAGGAUGAAGGUUUUCGGAUUGUAAACUUCUUUUAUUAAGGACGAAAAAUGACGGUACUUAAUGAAUAAGCUCCGGCUAACUACGUGCCAGCAGCCGCGGUAAUACGUAGGGAGCAAGCGUUGUCCGGAUUUACUGGGUGUAAAGGGUGCGUAGGCGGCUUUGCAAGUCAGAUGUGAAAUCUAUGGGCUCAACCCAUAAACUGCAUUUGAAACUGUAGAGCUUGAGUGAAGUAGAGGCAGGCGGAAUUCCCCGUGUAGCGGUGAAAUGCGUAGAGAUGGGGAGGAACACCAGUGGCGAAGGCGGCCUGCUGGGCUUUAACUGACGCUGAGGCACGAAAGCGUGGGUAGCAAACAGGAUUAGAUACCCUGGUAGUCCACGCUGUAAACG